AGCGUACACGGUGGAUGCCCUGGCAGUCAGAGGCGAUGAAGGACGUGCUAAUCUGCGAUAAGCGUCGGUAAGGUGAUAUGAACCGUUAUAACCGGCGAUUUCCGAAUGGGGAAACCCAGUGUGUUUCGACACACUAUCAUUAACUGAAUCCAUAGGUUAAUGAGGCGAACCGGGGGAACUGAAACAUCUAAGUACCCCGAGGAAAAGAAAUCAACCGAGAUUCCCCCAGUAGCGGCGAGCGAACGGGGAGCAGCCCAGAGCCUGAAUCAGUGUGUGUGUUAGUGGAAGCGUCUGGAAAGGCGCGCGAUACAGGGUGACAGCCCCGUACACAAAAAUGCACAUAUUGUGAGCUCGAUGAGUAGGGCGGGACACGUGGUAUCCUGUCUGAAUAUGGGGGGACCAUCCUCCAAGGCUAAAUACUCCUGACUGACCGAUAGUGAACCAGUACCGUGAGGGAAAGGCGAAAAGAACCCCGGCGAGGGGAGUGAAAAAGAACCUGAAACCGUGUACGUACAAGCAGUGGGAGCACGCUUAGGCGUGUGACUGCGUACCUUUUGUAUAAUGGGUCAGCGACUUAUAUUCUGUAGCAAGGUUAACCGAAUAGGGGAGCCGAAGGGAAACCGAGUCUUAACUGGGCGUUAAGUUGCAGGGUAUAGACCCGAAACCCGGUGAUCUAGCCAUGGGCAGGUUGAAGGUUGGGUAACACUAACUGGAGGACCGAACCGACUAAUGUUGAAAAAUUAGCGGAUGACUUGUGGCUGGGGGUGAAAGGCCAAUCAAACCGGGAGAUAGCUGGUUCUCCCCGAAAGCUAUUUAGGUAGCGCCUCGUGAAUUCAUCUCCGGGGGUAGAGCACUGUUUCGGCAAGGGGGUCAUCCCGACUUACCAACCCGAUGCAAACUGCGAAUACCGGAGAAUGUUAUCACGGGAGACACACGGCGGGUGCUAACGUCCGUCGUGAAGAGGGAAACAACCCAGACCGCCAGCUAAGGUCCCAAAGUCAUGGUUAAGUGGGAAACGAUGUGGGAAGGCCCAGACAGCCAGGAUGUUGGCUUAGAAGCAGCCAUCAUUUAAAGAAAGCGUAAUAGCUCACUGGUCGAGUCGGCCUGCGCGGAAGAUGUAACGGGGCUAAACCAUGCACCGAAGCUGCGGCAGCGACACUAUGUGUUGUUGGGUAGGGGAGCGUUCUGUAAGCCUGUGAAGGUGUGCUGUGAGGCAUGCUGGAGGUAUCAGAAGUGCGAAUGCUGACAUAAGUAACGAUAAAGCGGGUGAAAAGCCCGCUCGCCGGAAGACCAAGGGUUCCUGUCCAACGUUAAUCGGGGCAGGGUGAGUCGACCCCUAAGGCGAGGCCGAAAGGCGUAGUCGAUGGGAAACAGGUUAAUAUUCCUGUACUUGGUGUUACUGCGAAGGGGGGACGGAGAAGGCUAUGUUGGCCGGGCGACGGUUGUCCCGGUUUAAGCGUGUAGGCUGGUUUUCCAGGCAAAUCCGGAAAAUCAAGGCUGAGGCGUGAUGACGAGGCACUACGGUGCUGAAGCAACAAAUGCCCUGCUUCCAGGAAAAGCCUCUAAGCAUCAGGUAACAUCAAAUCGUACCCCAAACCGACACAGGUGGUCAGGUAGAGAAUACCAAGGCGCUUGAGAGAACUCGGGUGAAGGAACUAGGCAAAAUGGUGCCGUAACUUCGGGAGAAGGCACGCUGAUAUGUAGGUGAAGUCCCUCGCGGAUGGAGCUGAAAUCAGUCGAAGAUACCAGCUGGCUGCAACUGUUUAUUAAAAACACAGCACUGUGCAAACACGAAAGUGGACGUAUACGGUGUGACGCCUGCCCGGUGCCGGAAGGUUAAUUGAUGGGGUUAGCCGCAAGGCGAAGCUCUUGAUCGAAGCCCCGGUAAACGGCGGCCGUAACUAUAACGGUCCUAAGGUAGCGAAAUUCCUUGUCGGGUAAGUUCCGACCUGCACGAAUGGCGUAAUGAUGGCCAGGCUGUCUCCACCCGAGACUCAGUGAAAUUGAACUCGCUGUGAAGAUGCAGUGUACCCGCGGCAAGACGGAAAGACCCCGUGAACCUUUACUAUAGCUUGACACUGAACAUUGAGCCUUGAUGUGUAGGAUAGGUGGGAGGCUUAGAAGUGUGGACGCCAGUCUGCAUGGAGCCGACCUUGAAAUACCACCCUUUAAUGUUUGAUGUUCUAACGUUGACCCGUAAUCCGGGUUGCGGACAGUGUCUGGUGGGUAGUUUGACUGGGGCGGUCUCCUCCUAAAGAGUAACGGAGGAGCACGAAGGUUGGCUAAUCCUGGUCGGACAUCAGGAGGUUAGUGCAAUGGCAUAAGCCAGCUUGACUGCGAGCGUGACGGCGCGAGCAGGUGCGAAAGCAGGUCAUAGUGAUCCGGUGGUUCUGAAUGGAAGGGCCAUCGCUCAACGGAUAAAAGGUACUCCGGGGAUAACAGGCUGAUACCGCCCAAGAGUUCAUAUCGACGGCGGUGUUUGGCACCUCGAUGUCGGCUCAUCACAUCCUGGGGCUGAAGUAGGUCCCAAGGGUAUGGCUGUUCGCCAUUUAAAGUGGUACGCGAGCUGGGUUUAGAACGUCGUGAGACAGUUCGGUCCCUAUCUGCCGUGGGCGCUGGAGAACUGAGGGGGGCUGCUCCUAGUACGAGAGGACCGGAGUGGACGCAUCACUGGUGUUCGGGUUGUCAUGCCAAUGGCACUGCCCGGUAGCUAAAUGCGGAAGAGAUAAGUGCUGAAAGCAUCUAAGCACGAAACUUGCCCCGAGAUGAGUUCUCCCUGACUCCUUGA
rnacentral:rRNA from 1 species